UAACACACUGCUAACAACCCGCAUAUUGGGGUCAGCUGAAUCUGCGGGGGCCACGUUACACUAAUUUUCGUAGCACCACAUUAUUCAGCUUGUCCCAUUAUGCCAUGCUCGC
rnacentral:pre_miRNA from 1 species